AUACCUCUAUCUUGCCCUAAGCUUACACUAUGAGUUACAUUAUCAACCAUGAGUUUUAGAGAAGUAUUGGAGAUAGAAUCUUUAGAAAGGAGCAAUAGAAAACCAGUAUCGUGAGAGAAGGAUUCAAAUAAAAAAGAGAAGAGUUAAACCCUUGUCCCUUGUGUAUCAUGGCUUAGCCAUUAAUCUGACUUAUAUUAAGUAUUCCGAAACCUAGUGAGCUACUAAUCCCCUGUUAAGCACCCAAUAGUCCUUGUGGCAAUAAGGUUAAGAGAGGUUCUAGUAGAGAUGAGAUGUCAUACGCACUAAGUAAUAGCUGAUUUCUAGAGAAAUGUAUAAAAGUACAGGAAAGUAUCACCUUAUCCUCCCAUUAAAGGGAUAAUCUUUUAAUGGAAUAAGCUUUAUGAACAAUUAACCUUCUAUCAUAGCCUAGGCUUAAAAUCAGCCCUGAGCAUCAAUCAAGUUACAUUGUAAUGAAGAAGAGAGGUAUAAUUAUAUACUCAUAAUCUUAAUUUAUUUAGAAAUUCUGACUAACUUAUUUCAGAAGAUAUUCUGCUAAGAUAAGUAUAAUGUAUAACUAACUUCUAACUUAUAGUGGAAUACUCCAUUUAUAAAGUAUGAAUAAGGAACUCGGCAAAUAAAAGCUUCGUCUGUUUAUCAAAAACAUAGCUCUUUGGUAUUAUGAAAGGUAUAGCCUGCCCAGUGGGAUCUCAACGGCUGCAGU
rnacentral:rRNA from 1 species